rnacentral:tRNA from 1 species
GGAGAGGUGGCAGAGUGGUCGAAUGCGCUCGCUUGGAAAGCGUGUGUAGGGUAACCUACCGAGGGUUCGAAUCCCUCCCUCUCCGCCA